AUUCAUCUGCUGAAACCUGACGCCAGCGUGACGGGUCUGGGAGGUGGAGCCGCUGGGAUGUGAUUAGGCUGUGAGGGUGGAGCCCUCUGAAUGGGAUCGGUGCCCUUAUAAGACGCCCCGGAGUGCUCCUUCGACCCUCCUGCCCUGUGAGGAUACAGUGAAAAGACAGCCGUCUAUUACCCAGGAAGUGGGUUCCCACCAGACACUGAAUCCGCGGGCCCCUUGAUCUUGGACUUCCAGCCUCCAGAACCAUGAAAAAUAAACAUCUAUUUAUUUAUCAUUAGAUAUGAUUAAUUCCGUUCUAAGAGCAGAAUUAGGCUUAGAGGAGCCGAAACUAAGGCACAGAUUAACAUUCCCUGGACCACUUCCUCCCCUUUAAGAGCCACGAUGCAGCCCACGGUGUAUAACUCAGCCCACCCAGAGAGUGCCCGUCCUCCCCGCCCGGCUUCUGAGCCUGGGCCCAGGUCUCCACGGGGGAUGGAGCGGAAGGGAUGCCCUCCCUGCCCCCAGAGCCGUGGCUCAGGCCCAGCCGGUUCCUGGAGCAGGAAAGGAAGUCCCUCUCCUUCCUGCAUUGCUCCAGCUUUCUGACGCAGGGCACCUGGGUCACAGAGGUUUCGCGCCAGAAGACCGAGGUGGUGACUCAACCAGCCGGGCUGGCAGUCGUUAGGAAGGCGAGCGCCCCGGCACUUUCCGAGAGCAGUUUGGCAGGGUGCUCCGGGGGCUUGGAAAGGUCGACACUUUCCUCUCCAGCAAUCACACGUCUGGGAAUUUUCCCAAAGGAACUAAUCCCGGAAAGAAAAGCAAGGCCGCGUGCCCAGGGAUAUUUGCUGCAGCGACAUUUGUCAUCGUUGGGCGUGACGCGUCUGUGGAAACCCCUUGGUGGAUUGGGUUGGACCUUUCCGCUUCUCUAAGACCUUCCAUAGCUCCCACUGUUCCGUAACACUGCUGUCCCAUAGAACCAGGAAGUGAGCCACACAGGUAAUUAAAAAAUUUUUAGUAGUCAUGUUUUAAAAAGAAACAGCUGCCAGGAGUUUUAAUAUCAUAUUUUAUGCAACUCCACCUAUCUGAAAUACUAUCAUUUCAACAUACAGUUGAUAUAAAAAAUCCUGAACAAGAUAUUUCACAUUAACAUUACUAAAAGUUUUUGAAAUCCAGAGCAGAUUUUACAUUGGUAGCAUAUGCAAAUUGGAUGCUAAAAGUUUAUCAAAAGCAAUUUGCUUUUGAAAAAGUAGGUUCAUGUACCUAAGGGGUCCCAGACUCAUAAAAAUUAUCCAAUAAUUGAAUUGGGAAUUUAAGUUUAAAGUGCUUAAAUUUAGAAUUUAAAAACUCAGUUCCACAUUUCAAGUGUUCAGCAGUCUUGUGUGGCUGUUGGCAACCAUAUUGGAUGGAUAGAGAGCUUGUGUAUCCUUCCAGAAAGUUCCAUUGGACAGCACAGGCUUAUAAGGCCUAAACACCUCCAUAGGACUUUCGAGAUUUUCUAGAACCCAGCCCCAACCUAGCUUUAUUUACUGACCUUGUUUUACAUACUUUCACUUUCCCAUGCCUCUCUUUCCACUUUGAAAUACUCUUUUCAUCUCUCCCCUAGAGAAGUCGGCUUAAAGAUAGAAAUUCCUCCAAGGAUUCUUCCUUCUCCCCAUUGCAGAAUUAAUUGCUGCCUCUGCUUCCCGUGGGUUCCUGAAGACGAGGCGGAAUAUGUGGGAAGGGGCAGCAGGCCUGUGGGAGCCCCCGGCCCAUGGCACGCAGCCCCUGGAGCUCAUUUCCCCAUUUCUCCUAAGACAGGUUUGAAUGGACCUUCCAGCACAGCAUUAGCCCUGCCCCACUGGACAAACAGAGCCGCACAAAGGAGGGCACUGUGUCCCGCAGCUGCCCCAGGGCUGCCGAGCAGGACUGCAGACAGGAACACGCCCUGGAUACUGGCGAUGUAAUUCUAGGCAGGCAUCAGCCCUGCCAGAAAAAAAAAAAACCUUUCUCUGCUCUCACAAAAGGAGAUGCGUGCCUGGUUACUUGGGUCCUCAUAUUUCAAUGUGGGAGCUGGUAUUUGCCAGGGCUGGGGUGGCAGGUCGCUUUUUAAAAACUCUAACAUACCUCCAGAAAAGUGCCCACAUCCUAAUCACACACCUCGAAUUUCCACAAAGCAAACUCGCCCAUAUAUCCACGCUGAAAUGAAGAAAGAGUACGUCCCCAGGCCCUCAGCAGACCCCUCUCCUGACCCCUGUACCCUUCCAGACUGCUCCGCUCCCCAAGUCACCGCGCUCCUGACUCAGUUUGCCUGUCUCUGAACUUCACCAGUGACAUCACGGGGCGUGCAUUCUGGUGUGUGGCUUUUGCCCGCUGCUCUGUUUGCGAAGUCUGUGGUUGAGUUGUGAAUGCCUUUGUUUUUUCCGUCACCUGAAAUACAAUUAGUGAAAACCACAGCAGUUACAAAAAAAAAAAAAAAA